rnacentral:rRNA from 1 species
UACGUAGGCGGCCUGUUAAGUCAGUGGUGAAAGUUUGCGGCUUAACCGUAAAAUUGCCAUUGAUACUGACAGGCUUGAGUACAGUUGAGGUAGGCGGAAUGUGUAGUGUAGCGGUGAAAUGCUUAGAUAUUACACAGAACUCCGAUUGCGAAGGCAGCUUACUAAACUGAGACUGACGCUGAGGUACGAAAGCGUGGGUAGCGAACA